GCUGACUCCCCCACUUUGGACUUUGGUACUAUCUUUGUCAGUAGUCAUCAGCUGAACAACACCACCUCCAACGACCAAUCACUUCUGAAGAUCCGCACCUGAUUCCAAGACGUGGCUGGAUCAAGGAGUGUCUUUAAAAAGAAAGGAAGAAAACUUCCUAGAGAGACAAAUGCAGCUGUUCUGACACUUCCCUCUCUGGGGACAAGAAGAUUCAGUAACUUGAACAAUCAAGUUGUACUAAAGAACAUUCUUUGUCUUGUGAGAAACUAUCUGUGGAAACAGGACACCUCAUGCUAGGAACGUGCAUAAAACACCAGUCCGCGUCCAGGCAAGUCUGAUGAAGGAGCCACUGAUCUUCUAGAUGAGGAGUCAUCUUCAGCAGCCUAAGCCAGGAAAUGGCCUCAAAGCCACUGGAUGGAUGGGUACUCAAGAGGAGAACACUAGGAAUAUGCAGACAGCCCGUGGGCAAUACAGAGAGAGACUGAUCAGAAAGGAAAUCUGCUUAAAAUGUCAGAAAGUUUACGAAAAAAAGGUAAGAAGUGAAAUAUAUAUAUAUAUGUUCUUUUUAAAUUUCUUAAAAUAAAAACAGGAAAUGGAAGAUUUGUACAGAGCAAAUAAAAAUAAUGUCUAGCUCCCAUGGAAAAUAUGGGAAUGUAAGUUUAACAUUGUCUUCUUUCUGAGGGUAAUUUUUAUUUGUGAGGCUUAAUGGAACCCUUCAUGCUAGAAACAUCUUUGAAGACAAGUGAAAAUAAUCUGUCAGUUGCCAUGGACACAUCUUUGUGAAAACCUUAUAUUCCUCUUUUACCGUGUGACUGCAUACUGAUAUUUACUAUACAGAAGACUGAGUGUGCCCAUCUUAAUUCCUAAUAUGCACUGUGAUUUUUAUGCAACUCCCUACACAUCUAAUUUACACAGCUUGCCUUCAUUGCAGUCUGUAUCAAUUUUGGCAAUUUCUUGUGAGAUGCAUGGCACCACAGGCUAAAUGAUAGCUCAUAAUAAGCCAGUAUCUUUGCUUCAAAGAUAAUUGUGAACAUCAUUAAAUGAAUGUUAUGCCAGGGGGAAUGGGUAUCCAUCCAAUAAGGCUUUCCAUUUAUCCUGUGGUGUCAAGCACAGAAAAUAAACAGUAGUAAGCAUGAGCUUCUUGGGAUUUCUGGGACUGGAAAUGUACUGCUAUGGAAACAGUGAAAAUCAGUAUAUACUUAUGUGAGGACAGUAGCAAACAUUUAAUCUUCAGAUAGUGCUCUAGAAGUUCUAGGUAAAAUCUUGAUUGCUGUUUGCUUCAAAAAUCUGUCUAGUCAGACACUUCAGAAUGAAGGAUUACGUGCUGUCUUUAUAACUGUGUUAAAAAUUGAAGUGACAGAAAUUGAGGGAUACUACUCAGCAGAGAUCAUGUAGGGAAUGCGUUUUACUUGAACAUAUGCAUAACUGUAUGAUAAUAAGUUCAUUUAUUAUAAAAAUGGUUUUAUGAGAUUAUAACAAAAAGAGUGUACUAGUGAAAUGCCCAGCUGAUAGGUCUGCUACUUUGUUCAUCAGAUACAGAGUGUAUCAUGCAAUCUGGGAAAAGGCUUCAUUCCAUUUAUAUUCAUCCUAUUCAUUCUGGGUUGAAUUCAAGACCAGAGCUCAUAAAGUAAGAGUUCUUCUGGGACCCCUGGCAGGAAUAAAUUGCCUUAAUGUAAAUAUCGUUGCCUAUGUCUGCAUGAAAAUCUCCACAACCAUUACUGAAAGCACUGGAAUACUUGUCCAGAAUAUGCUCUGCUGUUUUGCUUUGAUCUACCUGCUAAAGCUAUUUUGUUUUGAUCUAUGUAAUACUGACAAGACUGGGAUUGACACAGUUCUGCAGAAGAUAAAGUGAAAAGCUGGUGCCAAAGCUGUGUAACUACAAUAUAGUGAGACAAUGUCAGAAUUAAUGAACUUAAUAGAGAUACAGUGAUAAGAACACAAAAGCCAGUAAUUCAUUAGUGCAGUUCCAGGAGCAUUGUAAUGUAUGGAAAAAAUUCAUGGCUGUGGAUAGUUCAGAUUAUAAAAAUGUCUGCUACUGGAUAUGUACAUUUGCCUGUACUUGUCUGUGUGCAUUGGCAGCUGGAGGUUCUUCCCACAUUUUCCUUUUUAAAUACAUAUAAGUGAUAUGAGAGUCUGUGAGUUUCCUUCUGUAAUGUGUUAGG